ensembl:lncRNA
UUUACAUGUGCCUUACUAUGCUGUUUUCACUGACAAAGUUCCAAGAAGAGAUUGUUAGGACUGAAAGUCCAAAAUUAGCUCUAGGACAAGAGUGAAAAAUUUCGACAGGCGCUCUGAAAUGGUUUGUGUGUUUGAAGCCAUAUAUGGGUGAAAGUAGCCAUUUCAACAGGAAGUAAAAAAAAAAAAAUAAGGAAAACUUUUUGCACACAACAGAAAAAUGCUUACACUUUCAUCCGUGAAAAGGUGUUCAAAUUCCCAAGGCAUGCUGAAUGAGACUCCAGGAUCUUGUAAAAGACGUCUAGGAGUUGGAUACUCCAGCACCCUCCCCAGGGCUCUGGAAUCACCUCGGGUCAAGGAGCUCCCUUCCUGUGCUCCUGGGUGUGCAGUGUUCUUGCCUGGAGAAUCCCAGGGACGGGGGAGCCUGGUGGGCUGCCGUCUAUGGGGUCGCACAGAGUUGGACACGACUGAAGCGACUUAGCAGCAGCAGCAGCAGCAGCAGCGCAUCACUGCUGCUGUAUGCAGGUUACUACCACCUGUAGCUACUUUCCCUGGUGACCUUGCAGGCCAGGACUUGGGACGGGCUCAAGCAUGCAGUUCCCACAUGGGGCCCCUCAUGCCAUUGCAGCUGGACCUUGUCCAGAGCUGCUGUCACCCAAAGGCUGCCUGGGCUGGAGGAUGGUGUGCCUUGGUGCUGCUGGCUAUGUGCUUGGCCGAGAUACCGCCUGGAGUGCCAGCAGGUGACCCCCAUGAUGUCAGACUCUGCGGAGCUGGAUGUACAAGCAUCCUGAGAGAACUACAUCUGGGUGCACAGCCUUCCCUGACCACACUCCAAGAGCACCGAGGCUUCACGUUCACCAUAAGCUGUAGUUGAAGCUGACGCACCUCCAACCAGAGUCAAUGGGGAGGGACAUAGGCCCUACCCCACGAAGGGAGAAAACCCAAAACAUGAGGUGCCAUUUGUCAUCUAUGUUAUGCUCGUCCCUAAUUCAAUCACGCAUUUUUGGGAGCAAGUUGACAUUGGGUCCUUCGUGCUCUCACCGGCCUGCUUAGAAAUGACACAGUGCAACAUGGAGGCAUUUUGCUCAAAGAAGAGCAACACAGCAGUAUCUUGAUGUGACAAGCAUGUCAGACUGGGGGUCAGUAUUUGCUGAUCACAAUUAGAUUUUGUGUAGCAUAUUUCUGACUGCACAUAUAAAUAGAUUAGCUAUGUAGAAGGUUCUAAUGGUGCUCUAGCCUCAUUUUCUGUGGAGAUAUAACCUUGAAAGUGGGACCUGCCAGCCCUACAUGUCUUCUGAUACAUCCAUUUAAGACUGUUCUGGCCCUGAGGCUCACUUAUUUGUCCAGUUCUAGACUUGGGUUCUGAGGAAGGAGGCAGUUGGUCGCCUGCUCUCUGUCUUUCUCCAUCGCCAAGGAAGGAAAGAGCUGGGCUUCUGAACUCCACCAGCCCAGAGCGCUUCACUCGAUGCUUCUUGCUAAGAAGCGCAUGCUUGUGGCUGCGUCUAGAGAAUCUUGUUUUCCAGGAAGCUCGUGAGAAAAACAACAGAGCUAAAGUAAGCCCAGGGGAAAAUGCAUUUGGGGCAGGCUUCUGACCCAGCAGAAGGGUUCAUCUGUGUUUGUAUUAAGCACUUCCCCACCCCCAAGCCAAGCUUCCUAAGCGGAAGGUAGACAAGCAGGCUGAGGCCAUGUGACAUCAUUUUCCAUCCUGGAUGCUCCUCCCUAUCUCAGUGCAGGAAUGAGUCCAAAUGAACCCAACAGAAACCUGGACCUGCACACAGGGGACUUCACUGUUUACUGUCCCCAUUUGUCUGUGACCUCAAAGGUUCAGGACAUAAAGGGUGACUGCUCCCCAUCAAAAUCAGUGGACCCAUCUGUAAACACACAGCAAGGUAACAGAUUCCACUGCUCAGUAAAAGAACAUGGCUCAAGGGACACUUCCAUUGGCUGGGGAAAUAGCCAGCCUUCUUGGGGAAGUUACACUCGUGACCAUAUCACUCGUACUCCUACGUAGGAGCGUGGCUGAAGUGUGUCCGCGUCCUUGUCUUUUGCACUUGCUUGUGAACUUCUUCACAAGGAGGUCUGAAGUCCCUCUUCAAGCUUUCCUAUCCUUCGGGGAAAUAUACACUACAGCUCAUUAGGAGCGCUUAAAAAUAUUUACUUCCUAUCCCACAACUCAAUUUGUAGAAAGUAGCAAAGACUGUGCAGGGUUGGUUGUCUUGAGAAGGUUCAUUGAAUGAAAGUGUGAUACAAGGUGAGAGAAAGCUGUACAAUAGACGGUAAACACCACAGGUUCAGUUCAUAUUCUGCUUGUCAACCCACUCCUUUAAGGUUGAUCAGGAAGGCUGUGGGGGUCAUUACUAAUACAUCUAUUUUAAAGUUGAAGUAUAGCUGAUUUACAGUGUUUCAGGUGUAUAGCAUGGUGAUCUAGUUGGGUGUAUUAUAUAUGUUAUGUGUAUACAAUAUAUAGGUUAUUAUGAAAGUGAAAGUGAAAUUUGCUCAGUCAUGUCCAGCUCUUUGCUACCACAUGGACUAUAGCCUGCUAGGCUCCUCUUGCCCAUGGAAUUCUCCAGACAAGAAUACUGGGUUGUCAUUCCCUUCUCCAGGGGAUCUUUCUGGCCCAGGGACUGAAUCCAGGUCUCCCUCAUUGCAGGUGGAUUCUUUACCAGCUGGGCCACCAGGGAAGCCCUUGUAUGUGUUAUUAUAUAUAUACAUACAUAUACAUAUAUAUAAAUGCCACAAUGGGGACUUUGGUAAGCAAAAAUUUUACAAUAAGCUUUCAAUAAAUAAGAUAAAAAUGUUUUUCUCAUGACUAAUCUUUGGACAUUCUCCAAGAACAUGUUCAGAUAGUGUAACAUGUGGAUGCUGACAUGAUGUUUUUGUAGAUCAACUUCCUUUUGGAAGGAAGACACAGAAUCAGGAUGUACCCACACAGAUGAGCUUUAGUCAUAGGACCAAUUAUUUCAUGCUCAUGUGCAGAUAAUUUACUGCAGCACUUUUUAUUCUAAAGCAGGAUAUCACCUUAGCCUAUUUUGAAAGAUGGCAUUCUGCAAUUUUGUGGUGUCUUCAGCAUCUAUUGCACUUUACAGAAAAAAAUGCAUUUGUUUCAAGAAUUCUACUAAAAGUAUCUAAGGAUGGCACCUUUUCCAAGGAAUACAUGUUUGUCAUCCAGAUGUAAGCUUAGGAGGGUAGCCUCUCUGUUUUCUAUGAUGGUGCAGUCAGAGGUGGUAGAGAUGUCAGCUGUUUAAAUUAAAUGAAAAUACAUGAGUCUUUUCCAUCCCAAACAAACAAAAAAAAUCACACUCUUUUUUUCUGAAAUCAUCAGAAGUUAUUGGAAAACAUGUGAAGUUAACUGAAUUCUUUGUUCAUUUCAUUUUCUCCCUCAAAUAGCAACUCUGUCCCCUGAUCUACAUUUGGUGAGUUAAACACAGUAUUUAGUGUGAAUUAAAAUCUACAAGGCCCUUAAUCGUGGCAUCCUUAAGACUGAACCAUGGAAAAGAAUACUAUUUCAGUCAGGAAUGACAUUAUUGCUACUACCUUCUCCAUUUGUCCCACUCUGUCCCUCCCCCACUGUGUCCACAAGCCCAUGCUCUACAUCCGGGUCUCCAUUCCUUCCCUGCACAUAAAUUCAUCAAUACAACCUUUUAGAUUCCAUUUAUAUGUGUUAAUAUAUGAUAUUUAUUCUUCUCUUUCUGACUUACUUCAUUCUGUAUAAAUCAUGUGUGAAGUGGAUGCCUGCUAAGAGGUGGCUGUGUAACACAGGAAGUCUAGUCUGACACUAUGAUGACCUAGAGGAGUGGAAUUGGGGAAGAGAAGGGUGCUCAAGAGAGAGGGGUUAUAUGUACAAUUACGGCUGAUUAUACAUAUAUAUAAAUCAGGCUUCCCCAGUGGCUCAGGUAGUAAAGAAUCUACCUGCAAUACCAGAGACUUGGGUUUAAUCCCUGAAUCAGGAAGAUUCCUUGGAGAAGGAAAUGGCUGCCCUCUCCAGCAUUCUUGUCUGGAGAAUCCCAUGGACAGAGGACCCUGAUGGGCUACAGUCCAUGGGUCACAAAAGAAUUGGACAUGACUGAGCGAUUAACACUUUCACUUUCAUACAUACAUCAUUUAUGGCUGAUAAAGACCCUGGUGCUGGGAAAGAUUAAAGGCAGGAGGAGAAGGGGACAACAGAGGAUGAGAAGGUUGGAUGGCAUCACCAAAUCAAUGGACAUGAGUUUGAGCAAGGUUUGGAAGUUGGUGAUGGACAGGGAGGCCUGGUGUGCUGCAGUGCAUGGGGUCGCAAAGAUUUGGACACGACUGAGAGACUGAACAACAAUGACAAAUGACUGAUUUGCACUGUUGUAUGGGAGAAACCAACAUAAUACUGUAAAAAUUAAAGAAAAAAAAGAAUAAUGUUAUGUUGUAGGAAGCACAUGAAACAUGAUGUGACUUCUCCCCCUAAGGACACUGUUUCUUUAGCUAGCUCUUUUGUUUAAGGAGGAAGAAAGUGGAGCACUUUCGUUUUGGUUUCUGGGAAAUUCGGCUAUUCUUCCCUCCUGUUUAUCAACAAGAUGAGUAAGUGCUAUCAGCCACACUGAUUAGAUACUUGGCAAAUGUGCCUAAGACCAGCCCCAGCUAUGUCCCAUGAUCUUCAAAGAGAAAGAAAACCUGGACGAAAAACAACAUAGACUGGGAAUAAGAUGCUGCCAUAGAAUUGAAGGAGAGAGUAGCUGACAAUGGAGAGUCUUAACAGAUACUGAGAAUUAUCUUUUCCUUGUAACCCAUCUGAUUUCCACUGAUACUAACUUAUAUUAGGAAAGGAAAGGAAAAGCCUGUAGUUCUUGUCCAUAUAUUCCCUUGUUCUAGGUGUGGCAUUAAGGUUUGUGGGAAUGAAAGUGAAAUGUUGGAAUACAAUGAUCAGGGUGCUUUCAAGCACUUUAUAUCACUGACAUUCCCAAGCCCAGUGUGGCCUUUGUAGAGAUAUCAAUGUCUCUUAAAACAGAAGAAGACUCAGAACUGGAUGAAAUGUAAUAACUUCCUUGGGGAGCCACUUGGCUAGUGAAGUACAGAUUUGAGGGUUAGAGCUAGUCAGUAUGCUAAUUCUCUCUUCUCUAAGUGGCAUAGGGAACAAAUAACUUUUAAAGUGUAUAUUCUGCUUGUUUCUAUGCAGUAUCAGAAAAAGAGGCAAUUGCCUUUUCACUUUGGUAUAUUAAGAACGAAACAUUUUAAAUGCAUGCUUAAAAAAUGAAAUAUAUACUCAGUAUGAUUAUCUCACAUGGUGGAUCUCAGUGACUAUGAAUCUGUAGUAUUCCUGGGAUCCAAGUCACAAUUUUAGAUGCUUAGAUAUUCUACAUAAGAACAAUAUCCAGAGUAGUCAUCUAGUAUGUUUAGGUUUUUUUCAAUCAAUUUUACAACUCUGAACACCAUUACCAAAAAACUUUACUGUUUUGCUAAGGUGAAGAAGUCUUCAGAAUGAGUAAAAUACUGCUCUGUGGUUCUCAUGACCUCCCCACAAGUCUAUUUUCACUUGAUAACUCAAUCUCUUAGAAGAGAUUUUGUCUAAAAUCUCUUCUGAGAGAAGAGAUCUUUUGUUGAUCAUUUUUGUUUGAUUUUUUGUUGUUUAGGUCCAAGUUGAGCCUUUCUUUGGAUAACAGUUGUCUGGUAGAUGUGGCGGCUGAGUUUUCUUUAUGGAAAAAAGUUUUAGUUCAGAAAAAAUAUUAAGUGAAAGACAUAUACAAACAACAUAGAUAUAUGGGUUUGCUAUAAGUCAUAUAGACACAAAGCAUUUUCCUGUGUUGUUUCUGGGCUGGAAAUAUUGCCUUAUUGGUAUUGGAACCCCAAGCAAAAAAAAAAAAGGAUUUUUUUCUUUAAAGGAAACUCCAUAUUAUUCUCCACAGUGGCUGUAUCAAUUUGCAUUUCCACCAACAGUGUAGGAGGGUCCCCUUUUCUCCAAGCCCUCUCCACCAUUUAUUGUUUGUAGAUUUUUUAAUGAUGGCCAUUCUGACUGGUGUGAGGUGUUAUCUCAUUGUAGUUUUGAUUUGCAUUUCUCUAAUAAUUAGUGAUACCGAGCAUCUUCCUGUGUGCCUCUUGGCCAUCUGUAUGAAAAGCCUAUUGAGGUUUCUGGCCAGGUUUUGAUUAGGUUAUUUGUGUCUUUUUUUUUUUUCUAAUAUUGAGCUGCAUGAGCUGUUUGACUAUUUUGUAGAUUAAUCCCUUGUUAGCUGCUUCAUUUGCAAAUAUUUUUUUCCCAUUCUGAAGGUUGACUUUUUGUCUUGUUUUAUGGUUUCCUUUACUAUGUAAAAGCUAAAAAGCAUUUAAUAAAAUAACUAGAGAGGGAAGUCUGACUGUGAGUACACCUGUAUUUAGGGUCAACAGUUACGGGUCAGCAGAGGCUUGAAUGGUGUGUCCAGAGCCUCAGGGGCAGAAUGUAACAGCAGAGGUAAUGGGGAAGACUCUGCUCUGAAAAUAAGAAACUGGUUACUUGGAGGAGAGAUAAGGUUGUAGAUUGUGUGGUAUGAGAUGAUGAGAAACCUUGGAAUUUAGCCUGAGCACUGGAAGAGCAGCAAACUUCUAUCUUCAGGCUACAUCAGGACAGCACAGUUUAACCUCAAAUAAAGUGGAUAAAACCAAGUGGAUAUUGGAGAAAACCUGCAAAUUGAAACAGCCUUCCAGAAGGAGCUGAACAAACUAUCCCAACUCCCUGGUCUUACAAAGAGAAGAGUACACUUGAUUGGGGGGGGGGGGGCACCUAAAACACUUAAAAGCUGAGAACAGAAUAAUUUAAUGAUAGGAAAACUACACUGAGUCGGUGACAUCAGAAGUACAUAGAUUUAUGUAAAUGGUCUUGUCAACAGGUUUUCACAGGGUGCUGAGGUCCCAAACCAACACCAAGGGUGAGCCUGCCCUGGAGCCCCUGGUAUCACAGAUCUUAUGGAAAAUCAGGAAAACCCCACAGGCCCCCCGAGGACAGGUCCUGCCCCAACAGGAUUGUGAAAAAUAAGGGAAAGAAUGUUUGGAACUGGCUGCGAUUUUGAGGACAAUAAUGAGGAAGAGGACAAAGGGGCGUUUCCAGAGUGUUCUCUCGAGAUGGCUGCAGGAGGAGCACCCUCUCAUUCCACCCUUCGCUGUCCCAGUGCAUGCGCACGCAUGCACACACAUACACACACACACACACACAAACACAGACUCUGUCCCUCCAUCCGCCCUGGUGGAUGGGACAGUGUCACAGGAGAGGCUAGCCAGUGGCUGUGCUGGAGAAGCUGGGUUCACUGGGCACUUGGUAGGGGGCGUGGGGGGCCGCCCUGGGAAGCAGUGUGGGCAGAAGCUACAGUCCUCUCUCUUGCAAAGGAGAGGCUCUGUGUGCCCCUGGAGGAGGUGGCCUCAGGGAUGCAGCCUCUCCUGUGGGAGGAGAGUGCCAGCCUACCCUGUGUCAGGUCACAGCCUCCUAACUGAUCAUCCUUGGCUCUGUGGCUCCAGAUGGAUUCCUGUAGAAUCUGGGCAGGAUUCCAGGAGUCUGGGCCAGAGGAGACCUGGGGGCCGGGCUCGCAAGUAUCUUUAUCUGAUGCCCGAGCCCGGCUCCUCAUGCCUGCCCAGGGUUGCCUCGCUGCUGGUCCAACACGCCGG